GCGGUCGUGAUCUAGCCUGGUUAGGAUCUGAGGUUCCCAACCUCAUUGCUCGGGUUCAAAUCCCGGCGGCCGCA
rnacentral:tRNA from 1 species